rnacentral:misc_RNA from 1 species
CAACCCUCAAGCCCUGCUUGGUGUUGGGAAUCUACUUUGAGUGGUGCUACCUUGUAGCUACCCUGUAGUUCCUCAAAUUCAGCGGCGGAGUUAUAGUAAUCCUCUGAGCGUAGUAAUUUAUUCUCGCUUUUGUUGGAACUGUAGCCUGGCCGUAAAACCCCCAAUUUUUAUAGG